rnacentral:sRNA from 1 species
CUUAAUAGUACAUCUUACGAAACUUUACUGAUCUCAUCAAAGUUGCGCAAUACAAUCAAGAAGCCAUGAUAAAACUGAAAUAAUGACGGUCUGAGGAAAUAACCUUAAAGAAAAGGUAUUGGUAAAUAUCCAAAUAUAAAAUACAAGUUUUCGGAAAAAUGAGACCUAUACGAAAUGGUCAAGAAGAACUAUACAGCAAUUUACUCCUCAGAGGUUGUGCUUUACCUGUUCCAAAAAAGAACAAAACUUGAGCUGGCAUAACCAAGCUAUUCUUUGUUCAGUACAUGUAUAGUGUAUACAAUAGAAACAGAAGUGUACAAACUUCAGGCAACUUCCAUUAUCUGAAGCUGUAAAGAAUUGACAGCACCCUGAUGGGCAUUCUUCAAGAAUUUGCCAAAAGCCCCAAAAGCAAGAGGACCCUUUAUAAACCAAUGGGCGAACUGUUCAACAAUGCAAAUAAUGAUCAUAGAAGGUCAUUCUUCCUUCUUCGAACUUUUCUUAUUAUCAACUCAAUGUGUGAAUGAGUUUACCAAAGAAACAAAAAUGCUCCAUUGUGUCAAAGGUGGGCAAAAAGGGAAAAAUGAUGGCUGAAUGUAGCUGCUUCCUUAUCUACCAGUAGCCUUUGCAAGAACAGAUUCCCUCUUUGAAGUGGUGAUACCUUGUCCCGUCUCUUACUAUAAUUACUCGAUCGUAAACUUUGGAGAUGAACUUUGUUACUUGGUGGCAAUCCCCACAAAUCCUUAAAUUCUUUACAAUGCGAAUUGGAGUUCCAUAUGCCGUGUUCAUCAAUCCAAAAGGCCAACUUCUCACUGUGAAAAGACAGAGCAGUCUCUUUAUCUUCAUCAUCAAUUUCAUGCAAAAGUUCUCCUAACUCUGGAACAUACCCAGCACUCUUCAACUUGAUUGUCAUCCAUCCAAAAAUGAAUAAAUCUCCCUACUUUCAGGGUGGGAUUUAUCUCCAACAAGGAACUAAUGGAAUGUCUCCUUCAAUUCAAUUGAGCUGCAACCAGGAAUCUUUUUUCUCUCAUUACUGAGUUCAUUCUUUUCUCUCAGCAUUCUUGCUUCAUUCCAUCUCCCAGAUGUUGAAUAUAUAUUACUCAGUAGAACAUGACACCCUAUAUGGUUAGGAUCCAUGUCUUUAAUGAUCCUUCCUAUUCUAUGUCCCCGCUCUAUGUCUUUGUAGAUUCUACAAGCAUUCAACAGUGCUCCCCAGAUUGCAACAUCUGGAGCCAUUGGCAUACUUGAAAUCAUGUCUUCAGCCUCCUUCAAGAAACCAGAACGACUAAGUAGAUCCACCAUGCAUCCAUAAUGCUCUAUUUCUGGGGUAAUAGCAUAAUCACUAACCAUCAAUCUGAAAUAUAAUUUCCCCUGCUCGACCAUAUAGCCAUGGCUACAAGCAUUCAAUAAGGCAAUGAAUGUGACUUUAUUAGGAGAAACUUUUUCAACCUUCAUUUGUUCAAACACAUUUAUGGCCUCAUUGGGUUUUCCAUGCAUUGCAAACCCACCAAUCAUGGCAUUCCAUGGCCAAACCUUUUGCUUUACCUUGUAAUUAAAGAAAACUCUGAAUGCUGAUUCUAUUUCCCCACACUUUGCAUACAUGUCAAUGAUGCUAGCUAAAAGCCUUUCAUUCAUCUUAAUCUCGCCUCUCCCGAUGUAAGCGUGUAUCCACUUUCCUUGAUCCAGUGCUACUAGAUUCGAACAAGCGGCAAAAGCGCUUACAAGGGUAUAUUCAUUUGGCCUAGGACCUAUUUGCAACAUCUCGUUGAAAAGAUCCAAAGCCUCCAUGAAACAACCAACCUAUAGUAAGCAUGAAGUAACUUUAGACACGGUACAUUAACAAUUAAGUCAAACACAAUCAAUGUGACAUACUUUCAACCGCGUACUAGUGAAAUGCCCACUUCAAACGAAUAAGGCAAUCGUGUAAAAUGCUAAUAUCAUUAUUUAUUUUACUUUCAAAUCCAGCAAUACCUGAACAUAACCAGCUAUUAUAGUACUCCAUGACACAACAUCUUUUUCUUGCAUUCCGUCAAACAAUUCCUUAGCUCGAAUCAUGUCACCAGAUCCAACGUAGGCAGCAAUCAUGGUGUUCCAAGAAUACAAGUCUCUAUCCACAGCCCAUUGAAAUACCUUCCAGCCCUCCUCCACAAGUCCCCACUUCCCAUACAUACCAAUCAAGGCAUUUAAAACAAAUAUAUUGUUCUCCAAACCAAUUUUCACAGCAUGAACGCGAACCUGCUGUCCCUCCUGCAUACCCAGCCCAUUGCCACAGGCACCGAAAGCAUACACAAAGCUAUAUCUAUUCGCAAAAAAACCCGAAUCCCGGAUUAAUGAGCGGAAAACCGCAAAGGAAUUGUGGCAGGAAUGGGGUAACAUAGAAUGUGCUUUGAUCAUGGUGUUGUAAAUGAACAAGUCUGGUUGAGGAAUUUGAUCAAACAGUUUGUGUGCAUAAGAAAUAGAAACAUAAGCAGUGAGCUUGAGGAGCUUAUGGGCUGAAACAGGGUGUGAUAUUAGAGCUGUGGUUACUAAUUGUGAAUGGGUCUGCUUAAUUUGUUGCAUCGACUUGCAUGAGUCAAUCAAAGAGACAAGUUUACAACAGUGAUCAGAAUGAAAAGGUUUUGCAGAGGCUGAGUAGAACCGAAUCAUUUUUUUGGCAUGAAAUCAUGCUGAUUCAAGAAACAACACUUCAACUUAGAAAACAUGGAUAGAUAGCCCAAGCCUCUUGUCACAGGCUGGGCCUGUUAUAAUAAUUAUAGCCCAUAUAUGGCCCG